rnacentral:rRNA from 1 species
UACGAAGGGGGCUAGCGUUGCUCGGAAUCACUGGGCGUAAAGCGCACGUAGGCGGACUCUUAAGUCGGGGGUGAAAUCCUGGAGCUCAACUCCAGAACUGCCUUCGAUACUGAGAGUCUUCGAGUUCGGGAGAGGUGAGUGGAACUGCGAGUGUAGAGGUGAAAUUCGUAGAUAUUCGCAAGAACACCAGUGGCGAAGGCGGCUCACUGGCCCGAUACUGACGUGAGGUGC